GUCAACUACCCCCGACUGAAGUCGGAGGCAUGUAAGCCUCGUGGUUGACCAGCCUGAGUGCCUGACCCGAAGGACACGGGGAUUAAGGUACUAUGUUGGCAAUAGGCUAAAGACCCACUCCGGGAUGCUCCUCCAGUCCCGGACCCUGGA
rnacentral:sRNA from 15 species